rnacentral:rRNA from 1 species
GAUGAACGCUAGCGGCAGGCCUAACACAUGCAAGUCGAGGGGUAGAAGGAGCUUGCUCCUUUGAGACCGGCGCCCGGGUGCGUAACGCGUAUGCAAUCUACCUUGUACAGGGGAAUAGCCCAGAGAAAUUUGGAUUAAUGCCCCAUAGUAUAUAACCUUCGCAUGUUGGUUAUAUUAAAGUUCCAACGGUACAAGUUGAGCAUGCGUCCCAUUAGUUAGUUGGUAAGGUAACGGCUUACCAAGACGAUGAUGGGUAGGGGUCCUGAGAGGGAGAUCCCCCACACUGGUACUGAGACACGGACCACACUCCUACGGGAGGCAGCAGUGAGGAAUAUUGGUCAAUGGUCGCAAGACUGAACCAGCCAUGCCGCGUGCAGGAAGACGGUCCUAUGGAUUGUAAACUGCUUUUAUACAGGAAGAAACCCUCCCACGUGUGGGAGCUUGACGGUACUGUAGGAAUAAGGAUCGGCUAACUCCGUG